rnacentral:lncRNA from 1 species
GAAGUGAAGAGUACCCGACGACAUUCAGGGAUGAAUGUAGACCCAUCGGGCGGGGAUAAUCAUUCCGGUCCUGGGAGAGGUGGCGACACCAGUCUGAGCUGAGGGAAGCGAGCCAAUUGAGUCACUGAAACGACCGCAGGAGGCGCACCCUAAGCCCAGCUUCUCGGAGCUGCUAUUGCGAAAUACGGCUUCCUUAAUAUCCAAAUUUUAACAAGGGGGCUGGGCUGCUCGCCUUCAUAGAAAGGCGACCGGGCCUAGAUUAGAUGUUCGCCUUUUUAUAGAAUAGAAAGAGAAGGUAAAG